AGGCGCUAUCCUGUUGCUUCCCGCGUGUUGAAAGAAAAAAAGAAAGAAAAAGAAAACAAAAACAAAAUGACAAUGAAUUAAAAGAAAGAAAAAGAAAGAAAAGAAAGAAAACAAGAAAAAAAGUGAAUGAAAGAAAGAAAAUAAAGAAAAAAAGAAAACAAAAGUGAAAUUAUUAUUAUUAUUAUUAUUAUUAUUAUUAUUAUUAUUAUUUGCUUAAGUGCGUGUGUUUGUGUGAUGGCUACCAGAUAAGAUUGUUGUUGUUGUUGUUGUUGUUGUUGUAGUGAAGACAACCAACAUUCAACAACUAUCAAGGAUUUAUAAAGCUGUGUGUGUACCUGUCGGGGGCGAAGCGUGUACACAUGAAAAGGUAGGCUGUGUGUGUGUACCUGUGUGUGUGUGUGUGUGUGUGUGUGUGUGUGUGUGUUUCUUUACGCGUGCUUGGCUUUAUACGCAAUACGGAAGUGUGUGUGUGUGUGUGUGUGUGUGU